UGCGGAUUCCCACUUUACCUGGGAACUUACCAGUGCACCACCCUGACUGCUGAAAGUUCUGGAUCCUGGGUUCGAGGAAUAUAAUUCCCCGUCCGGGCCACCAAUUGUCGCGACCCCUCGCCGGCAAGGGAAAACACGACACAGGAUUCUUCUUUCAGCAGUUUAUUCAUGCCUUGAUUCAAGUAUCAUCUUCUAGCGACCCCCCGCCGAGCGCCCAAGCA
rnacentral:lncRNA from 1 species